UAGCAGCCCUGCUCAGGAGUUGCAUCUGGAAAGGCAGUCCAUCUCUUUUGGAACAGUGCUUCAUAGAAUCCAGUCAAGGAGAUAAGUACAUACAGAGCUUAAAAAGUGAAGAGCAAGCCAUUUUGCAUCUUCAUCGUGAUGGCAACCUACACAUCAGAGCUUAUCCCAGGUCAGCAGCAGGGAACUUUGACACAGGACUGGAAGGAAGAUCAUCGACAUGAUGUGUUCAUCUGAAAAGACCUUGCCUCCUGGAGUCGUGUCUUCUCUGUGUUACAUGAGUGCAGUUUCUCCUCAAGUCCUUCUUCUGUGUCUCUGCUGGCUGUGUGGUAGAGCGAUCGCCUUGGCCAGGCUGCCUGUCUGACAGACAUAGCUCUGCUGUCUGUAAGUCAUUUGUGGGUUUCUUGUGCUUCUAGAAAUGGUAACAACAAAAGUUGUAAUUAUUGCUUCUGUUUUCAAAGCUUGGGCAGCUCAGAUGUCUGGGCCUGUCAGGAAAUACUGCUAUAAGUGAAUGAAAGGGAGGAUAAAUAUGCACUGGUCAAAAACAAGUGUUUUACUAUAAUAUUCCUAGAACUGUACUGGACCUCUCUUUGCAGAGUGUAACUGAUUGCCAGCCCAAUGCCAUGAAGUACUGUGGUCCUGUGAGGAGCCAACAGCUUUGUAACUUGUUUGUUGUGGUAACUACCAGCCAGAAUUGAGUCUCAAGCUAAGCUUCCUGGUACACAACGUCCCUCACCCUGGCUACCCCACAGAGGAUGUGCUAAGCUUUGAGAGUUCAUGUCUGUAUUCCUGGCCUUAUUGAUGGGCUUAGCUUUGCAUGAUGGUCAGAACUGGAAACUCCUUGGGGAUAGUGGGGAUGAAUCAGUUGCAAAUCUCACCUUGUGGUGUCCCUCUGCACCACAGCCGGUAGAGGCUUGAAAGCAAUUGAUUAUAUAUACACUUGCUAAUGACGUAGCUUGCGUACUUAGUCUAAAAAUUAUCAUUUGUGUCCUGGAGAAAAGAUUCAAACAAACAAAAAAAACUGAUUCAGAGUGAGGAGAAGCAGGCUGAGGCUUCAUGGGGAUAAUUUUCAUUUUGGAGUAGGUGGAAUGCUCUGAAUUGGUGAAGGAGAGGAAACUGAGAUGUUAUUUUCUUCCUUUGCUUCCAUAAAUCACACAUUUCAGUGAACCUGGCCUGAUGGCUUCAAUAAGCCUCUCCAGUAAGACUCUACAUUUAAGUCACACUUGCUAAGUGCAGAGAACAUGCAUAGUGAAAGGCAGGCUGUCUGGAGACAAAACAAAAUCUCUCAAGGUUGGCAACACUUAGAAACAAAACUUAGUGUGAGCACAAGUAAGUGAAAUUUGUGAUUGGAUCCAUAGCUGGGCUUUCCUUCAGCUAGGGUACGCCUGAAUCUGUGGGCUCAUGGUGCAGAAAACUGUCAAGUACCAUUGUGAUACUGGGGCUUUGCGGUGCCCAGGCAGAGAAGAAGGGAACUGGUCAGUAAAGGCUCCACAUUGUCCAGCAUCCUGUCCCCAGCAGAAAUGUGCUCUGUAUUACUGCGUAUAGGGUUAAUGAACAAUAACAGAGUAAAUAACUAUCAGCAUAUUAGAAAUUUUCACUUUCCUCUUGCCUGUUGUGACAGCCGUUGUCUAUUACUUCUGUGUUGUUAACAUGCUUUUCUUUCUAGAAGAGCUCAUUAGAUCCAAAAAUUCUCAGUUAUUCAUGUCUUUCUUCCACUGCUAGAUAUUUCUGCCCAUGUUAGGAAAUUCUGCAAGCUAUUACAUCAUCUGUUCUUCCUGCUAAUUGUCUUUGCUGCCUGGCCUGGCAAGGCUGUGCUUGCAGUGCUCAGACAGCGCAGUGUGUCAGCGUAUUGCAGGACGACUCUGCUUCCGGCCUCUCGGCCCAGUUCCUGUCCACUUUAUUGAUUUUCUUUAAUACCCAGAGAACACUUCAGCAAAGGAUUACAAAAUGCUUUAAGGACAUUAAUUAUGCUUGCCACAGAAAUACCAGCUGUGCAGAGCAUGUUUCUAGAUGACUUUGAAUGGAUCUAAAACUGGUUCUGCUCAGUCCCAGCUAGAGUGCCACCAACACAAAGGGGCUACUUUUGCUCCAUUAAAUUUUCCUCUUUAUGAGCUCUUUUUAACUAGGCCAAAUAUUUCACAGCUUGGUAACAACAGCAAAACACCCUUCAGCCUAAAAACCACGUCCAUGCAUCUUAAUAGCAUUCCAGAGUUGCAGUUUGUUUCCUCGGUUCCUAACAAAUGUCUCUAGCCAAUUUUCUAGCUGUAGAUUGUUCUGAGGUUGUAGAACAAUUAUUUCCAUUAUCAAGUAGAGCAAUUAAGCGCAUACUCUCAAAUCACAGCUGUCUGCAUCCAUCUGUUUAAUGUUUGCAGGUACAGAAAUGUUAGUAACUGCUACCUUCUUGGUUUGCGGUCUCUCAUGAGGAGGGCUGCUGCUUCCUCAGGACAGACGUUCCGGCAGAGUGCAGAACAGAGCUAAGCUGAUUAGAGUGACUGCAUUUAGGAGCGUGUAUUUGUAAAUCAGAAGGCUCCUGGCAGAAAGUUUCAUGUCUGGCAGCUACUCAUCUCUGCAUUCAGGUUGAGGUGGAAUGUUCUAGGGGCCACACAACUCAUCGGUUUUUCCUUCAGCUAGUGUAUGAGAAGCUGUGUCUUCAUAUGUGCAUUUAGGGGGGAAAAAGAAAAAUGUUGUCCCAAAUUGGAGCAAUUCAAUGAAAAAUAUUGCACCAAAUGAGUGAGUCAUUAAGUAGCAUGGUGACACGUAUGCGAUUUCCUUGCCAGCAGGAUUUUAGUUCCUGAGGAAGUUUUGUUCUGUUGGCUUUGUUCUGUAGUCGUCUUUGUAAAGUGGAAAGUUGAUUUAUGACAUUUGGAAACAGUUUUUGGGGGAAAUCUUCCUGGAAAGUAGGCCUGAGUGUCUGGGCUGAGCAUUCAGAAGAGAAGAUGGCUUGCUUGCUACAGGCCAUCAUCUCUCUUCUUUUGUACAUGUGCAAAUACGGUACGUUGCACUGCAAAUGGGCUGAAACACAGCAUUACCUUCUUUCACUGUGAGUCUGAAGUACAUGUGUUGUCACUUAACUGUGCUGUAGCAAAGGAAUGGGGAUAUUUAUAGGGUUGGGGUUUUUUUUGUUUUUUUUUUUGUUUUUUUUUAAU